GCCGGAGUAGCUCAGUUGGUAGAGCAAUUGUUUUGUAAACAAUAGGUCGCGAGUUCGAGUCUCGCCUCCGGCU
rnacentral:tRNA from 1 species